CGAUCAUCGACUAGUAGCUAUGGCUUCGAUCUAGACAGUUCUUACCUUUGCGGCACACCGGCCGCGUUUCACCCCAUCGACCAGACAAACAAUAGAUAGUACCGGGACCGUCCAAUCGGUAUCCAUUGUGACACUGGAAGGUCGCCCGAUUGCCAGAAACGUGGACGUGUCCGUUGUGCGGUGCAUAUACUCGUGGACACCGAAUAGGAGCUAUGGCACAAAGUAAACAAUAUGGUAGGAGCCGAUCCGCUCCAUCUUCCAAGACGGCAAUACAGAACACUGGCACCUUGCAGCCUGUAACCAGAGUGACAAGUGAAGACUGCUUUGUAGCCAUAGUUGUAGCAAUGACCGUGAGCAGGAUGGGCGCGAUUAUAGCAUUUGUAUUUGUAGAAAGUUCCAGCAGCUACGGACAGAAGGCAUCCGAGAAAGGCGAAUAACAAGAGUCUCGACAUCUCGGUCGAGGACUUGCACCGUGAAUAAGAACUUCUGGUCUCGACAGCGAAUUUAUGUAGUAGGUAGCUGCUACAAUGUAACAAUGACGACAGUUGGUAUUAUCUGGUAUUGGAACUAGAUGAGCUAGAAAACAGUUGCUUCUCCUAAGCUGCA